rnacentral:misc_RNA from 1 species
GAUGAAGAACGUAGCGAAGUGCGAUAAGUAAUGUGAAUUGCAAAUUCCGUGAAUCAUCGAAUCUUUGAACGCAAAUUGCACUCUCUUCGGAGAGUAUGCCUGUUUGAGGGUCAGUAUUAAUAAAAAUCGGUGUGUUGCUCUUUUGUGACGCUUCGGAGUUUGGGUUAUCUUAUAAUAACACCUUUUAGGUGUUUUUUUUUAAGAGGCUUAAAAUUGACAUCUUUUUUGUGCAUUUUAGACGUACAUAAAUUUUUUUUUAUUCGUUUAUUCUAAUGCCAAAAUCUAUUAGGUUCGACCAUAUCGUGUGGUUUCGUAUCUAUAAAUUUUUUCAUGAUUUGACCUCAAAUCAGGUAGGAACACCCGCUGAACUUAAGCAUAUCAAUAAGCGGAGGA